GGAGGCGUCGCAUAGUGGCCUAGUGCGCAUGCUUGGAAAGCAUGUAUAUCGCAAGGUAUCGUGAGUUCGACUCUCACCGCCUCCGCCA
rnacentral:tRNA from 3 species